UAAGCGGAGGAAAAGAAAAUAACAAUGAUUGCCUCAGUAACGGCGAGUGAAGCGGCAAAAGCCCAAGAUGAGAAUCGCGAGCCUCCGGCUCUGCGAAUUGUAAUCUAUAGAGUGAACGCUGACCAGCUCUCUGAAGCCCAAGUGUCCUGGAAUGGACCGCCAUGGAGGGUGAAAGCCCCGUACGGCAUCGGAGAAAAGCUAGGCGUCGCUUGAAGAGUCGAGUUGUUCGGGACUGCAGCUCUAAUUUGGAGGUAGACUUCUCCUAAGGCUUAAUAACUAUGAGAGACCGAUAGCGAACAAGUAAUGUGAAUGAAAGAUGAAAAAUAUUAAUUUUAUCCGUAAGAACUUUGAAUGAAUAAAAGAGAAUUAAAGAGACCUGAAACCGUUGAGGUGGAAGCGAUAGGAAGUUUCCAUUUGGCUUGGAGCUGGCAAAGCAGGUUCGCCUGCGAGUUUGCUCCCUGUCAAAAAGCAAGAUCGGCUUGGGCUGCGUCAUACACCCUGCUGGGCCAGAGCUUCGGCAUCACUCAGUAGGCGUUCGUCGCGGGCGAGGUCGAGGGACUUCGUGUGUUCUUGCUAAAUUUGAUAUUUUCCUACCGACCCGUCUUGAAACACGGACCAAGGAGUCUAAC
rnacentral:rRNA from 1 species